GGCUGUGAGUGGGUAGGGGGGCCAUGAGAGGGUGGGGGGGCUGUGAGAGGCCUCUCUCAGCCCCCUACCCUCUCAUGGCCCCCCUACCCACUCACAGCC